GCUUGUCUCAAAGAUUAAGCCAUGCAUGUCCAAGUAUAAGCAAACACAAAGUGAAACUGCGAAUGGCUCAUUAUAUAAGUUAUCGUUUAUUUGAUAUUGCCUAUCCUACAUGGAUAACAGUGGUAAUUCUAGAGCUAAUACAUGCUGAAAAUCCCGACUCACGAAGGGACGUAUUUAUUAGAAUCAGAACCAAUGCCCUUCGGGGUUCCUUGGUGAAUCAUGAUAACUCCACAGAUCGCAUGGCCUUGCGCCGGCGAUGGCUCAUUCAAAUUUCUUCCCUAUCAACUUUCGACGGUACGGUAGUGGCCUACCGUGGUUGUAACGGGUGACGGAGGGUUAGGGCUCGACCCCGGAGAGUACGCGAGAGUAUCGGCGUACACAUCCAAGGAAGGCAGCAGG
rnacentral:rRNA from 1 species